ensembl:lncRNA
GCUUACUCUUCUGCCAGCCACUGAUUUCUGAUUUAGUGCUGCUCUUGUCAGGGGCUGUGAGGUGCCUUCCAUGCACUGACAGAGCAGCUCAAGGGCAAGUGUGGACAGGUGAUGAAAUACACCAGUGAACAGAGCAUGCAUUCACAGGGGGACCAGAGAGGCAGAGGGUCUCUCAGAGCAGAUGCUAAAACUGAUGAUGAUGGAUGUCUACAUGGAGACUGUUGAGUGAUCAGGGGAGGCUCAUGUAGAUUCUACAUUUUCCAUUGUUUCAUGAAAUCUUAUAUGCAAAUUUACAGGGACAAUUAGUCUCACACCAAUGCAGGGUGGCACUCUGAGAUUUCGCUUUUUAUCAAGAUUUUUCAUGUUUCUCAUGUUUUGCAUUGUAUAUCAUAUGUUUUUAAAAUAUUAAUUUGAAAAAGAGUGAAAAAGUGGAUAGAUUUUUAUGUUACUACAGGCAUUACAGUAAUUACUUGAU